UUCCCUCCAUCGCGGACACCGGCUUCGAGGCCUGGGCCUCCUGCAUGUCCUGCGCCCUCCGCGCCUCCCUUGCCUGCUCCUGGGCGGCAGCGCUCUGCUGCGAGGACGCCUGCAGGCUGAGGGGAGGGACGAUGGCACCCAAGAGACAAAGAGGGCAGGAGAAAGGGAGACUUCUGUUCCAAUCAAACAGAGUAGCUUACGUUGCGGCGAUGACGACCUCCUCCGUGGUGACCGGCUGAGUUCUGGAUCGGUCUUGUGUCCGCCUCAGUCUCCUGUCUACCGCGGCAUUCCUGGAUCGAGGCUUGGGAGCUCCGCCAUCGAUGCUCUUCUCCAGUUCCUGGAUGGACACGUCCAGAUAAACGUGGAAAAUCAUUACGAGUCAAUGGAAUAUUUCACCUCCUGUUAAUACAAGUGAGUUAAUCCAGGAGCAGAGUAAACAGAAUUAAGGUGAAAGUGACUGAAUUAGUCACCGGAGUAGAUUCAAAUAUCUCUAUCGACAAAUUUGGAGUGAAAAGUUAUCUGAUAAAAAAGCUCUGUGGUCUGAACCCUGGCAGAGAUGAAACCAAAUCGAGUCCUUAGCUCUAACUUCUCAAGAGGACAAGAAAAAUCAGACAAUGUCCAGAAGAAUCUGAAGACAUGAGAGGACAAACAGCCAACAGUUGAAACUCACCCUGAAGAGAGAGCGCUUGGCCGCUACGCUCAGCUUGGCUCGAUCAUCUAGCUUCUCUUCAUCACCUAAAGAGGGACAGAGAAGAGACACACAUAUAUUUAGACCUUAGAGACUGUGGAUGUCUUUUCCAUAGCAACAAUUUGUCAGAAUCAUCUUAAAUACUUGGGAAAAAUCAAUUGCAUAACAUUUAUUGUGUAAAAAAUACGUCUUCACGAAUCUACAUUCAAGUCCAGUUACUCCUGAUUCAAGGGCUCAGACUCUCCACAGACAUUCCCCUUUGGCCCAAGAGCAAAUGCGAUCUCCUCCAAGAUUCAACAGAAUGGAACUUGGAAAUGUCUGAGAAAGGUUUCAUCCAUUGUGCUGAAAGACGACUAUCCUGAAAGAGUAAAGUAAUCACAAUACUCUGUUUACCAUCAUUAUUCCCACCACCAGCUCCAUCUGGUUUAAUCACAUGGAGCAAAGAUAGACCGCUAAACCUGUGGAGGCAGACAGGUGUGCGGAGACAUAGCUGACACACACACACACACACACACACACACACACACACACACACACACACACACACACACACACACACACACACACACACACACACACACACACACACACACACACACACACACACACACACACACACACACACACACACACACACACACACACCCUGCAAGUCACGUUACAUGACAUCACCAAACAACUAUUCCCUUUUGACUGACGCUGCUGUGCCGAGCUCUGCUCCCUCUUAAUUCACGUCCCGGCUGCCUGUGAGUUUAUAAGAAGCAGAUGAGAGGGUUCUGCCCUCAGUGCAGCUACUGUGAGAACAAAUAAUGACUCUAUAAACUAUAAAAUACUGCAAAAAAGUGCUUUCCUGUAAAAAACAUGAGACCGUAGUAGGGAGAUUUGAGUUAUUUGGCCUCCACCUCCUCAUUUCUACUCUUGAAGUUUUUAUAUCAAGUCACAUUUCAAUCGUUUGUUGCAGUCUUAAAUUGUGAAAGCUGCAGAUAAUCGUGUCAGUUGUGUGGUUUUCACUGGCAAAUGUAUACAACUUGGAUUAUUUAUCCGUUACCAUUAAGAAAGGAGAAGCGAAUGGCUGAAAACAGUGUCUCUCUUACACUGACGCACAGCACAUCACCAUGAUUUCAUCAACAAGACAAAACUCUGAUGAUAUGCUGGGCUGGUAUCUGUGAAUUACAGGUGACACUCUUUUUCCUUUAAAGAAGCCAAAUAUGGCAUUAAUGUUUGCCGUCAGUAGAUAAAAACUUGAGUCAAAAUGACGCCUUUUGUAAUGCCCAUAUGAUUCACUAGCCCCUAAGAAAGCUCUACUUAACUGUUGUAAAUAUUCCAUUGAACAUUAUGUAACUUAAGACGCAGUAAAGCAAUCUCAUUAGUCAAACACAUAUUGAUAAUUCCACUAAAGCAAGCCACGCUUAAUCAAUUACCUCGCUAACACUUUGAGUGCAGAGGCCACCGUAGAUCCGGAAGCUUUACUUUUAUUUAAUGCAGAGUACAGUACUGUACAUGUGUUUGUAGAACUGGAUGAAGUAAAUCCUAAAUGUCUAUUUCCACAAAUAUGCUGGAUUUCUUUUCAAAUUUUUUUUUUUUACUAUACUACACAAUGGAAUACACCAAUCAGCCACAAUAUGAAAACCAGUAACUGAUUAGUCAUGGACAUAAAUUCAAGAGUACAGACAAAGUUAAUGUAUAAAUAAAUUAAUUAAUCAGUAAAUAAAUUACUGAUGGUUCAAAACACUCUUUCAAAAAAGGCCACAGAUUUACACUGUUCAGGCACAACAUUAAAACAAGUUACUGGAUUUAAUGUUGUGGCAGAUCGAUGUGUAUUACUCUGAUAAUCAAAAUCUUUGCCGUGAUAAGUUGUGGAGAGAAAACAACUACUUACCUUCAGUAGAAGCAAAAUCUGAACUCACACAGGACCUUUAAAAAGUACAAAAAAAAAUAAAAAAUUUAAUCAGCAAA